ensembl:lncRNA
GCUGUGGGGCUUCGGGAGAGAAGCUUUACUUCUCAGAGUCCCAGUCUGGUCGCAACUAAGACACAGCGGAUGAUCGCUGCGUCUGGGGUUGACGUGAGGAUUUGAGAUGCCGAGGGCUCAGCUCAGAGCUGGGGCUAAUAGUGGCCUGUUUCCUAUUAAUGGUGAUGAUUGCCAAGGGCCGAGCUCCAGCAACCGCAGGCUACAGAACCCGGAUCCAGAGACUGAGUCACUCUGAUCAAAUCGCGCAGCCUCUCAGACCCUCAGUCUCUUCUUCAUCUGUAACCAAAACCAAACUCCACACCAGGGUCCUGAGAGUGAAGAGAAGCUGUGUACCAGCAUGGAGCAGGCACACACCACAGGGCCGCCAGCUCCCACGCCCGGCCCCCAUUGGUGGCCGAGGCAUGGAGCAGGCAGGUGGAGGCCAGCGUUUGGCUGCCGUGGGCCCCGGCCGACUGGGCUCCAGUCCUGCUCUGCUGCUGCAGUGGCCAGGGCCCCGGAAAGCAAGGCCCCCACCUCCUCUUUCACCAGGGUGGUGGGUGUGAGACAGGUGUGCAUCCAGCACAGGGACAUACAGCCCAGGGCCCUGCCACCCAGUGUCUCCACUGGGUGCAUCCAGGCACCUUCUCACUUGGGUUCACUGUGCACCUGCUGUGUGGGCAUCUCCUGUGCAAACUCAAUGACCCCUGCGGGCCAGGCAUGGGCUGAGCCACAAGUGGCCCCUCCUGGAGGAGCCCCUGGGGGGUCCCUGAAGGCUCUCCCACACACUUUCCCAAACAGAGAAGGAGAGCAACCUGCCCAGGGUCGCACAGCACCCUUCCUGACCGCAAGGCCCGGGGGCUCCCCGCCAGCGUGCUGUCUCCACACCCAGAGGGAAGGCAGAAUUCUAAAAUAGCCAAUAUAACCCCCCCUCCUGAGUUAAACUGAGAAUGUGAUGGGGUUCCCCUCCCUUAGUUAGUUUGGUGGUAGUGGUGGUGGUUUAGCCGCUAAGUCGUUUCCAACUCGCGACCCCAUGGACUGUAGCCUGACAGACUCCUCUGUCCAUGGGAUUCUCCAGGCAAGAGCACUGGGGUAUGUUGCCAUUUCCUUCUCAUUAGUUAGGUUUUAUAUGUGCAAAGGUGAAGGUUUUGCAGAUGUAAUUAAGGUCUCUAAUCGGUUGACUGAGUUUCUCAAACAAGCUGGGCCUGACCUAUUCGGGUGAGUCCUUUAUAAGUGGGCCCCGCCUUCCCUGCAGAGAGCUGUGUGCUGCAGAAAGGAUCUACCAGCUUGAAGAAUGCCAUGGAGCAAAUUUCCUAUGGAGGGG